CCCUUAGAUGUUCUGGGCUGCACACGCGCUACACUGAAGGGAUCAGCGUGUUCUUUUCCUGGUCCGAAAGGAUCGGGUAACCCGCUGAACCCCCUUCGUGGCAGGGAUCGGAGCUUGCAAUUAUUCUCCGUGAACCAGGAAUUCCCAGUAAGCGCAAGUCAUAAGCUUGCGUUGAUUACGUCCCUGCCCUUUGUACACACCGCCCGUCGCUACUACCGAUUGGACGUUUUAGUGAGGAUUUUGGACUGAGCCAAUGGUGGUUCACACCACUGUUGUGCAUGGAAAGAUCUCCAAACUUGAGCGUUUAGAGGAAGUAAAAGUCGUAACA
rnacentral:rRNA from 1 species